AUGCUCUCUCCCAGCUGUACUCCAUGCAUGCAUGCCAUUCAAGUUUCAACCUCCAAGUACAGUGCCAUUGCCACUCCACUUUAUAAACCCCAUACAUACGGAUCCACGGGGCAGCAGCACCUUCACCGAUCGGCAAUGGCGAUAUCACUCCUCCUCCUGGCCGGCUUCCUCCUUGCCCUUGUCUCCUACCUGCUGGUGACGAGGAGCGGCCCCGAGGAAAGAGGACUGAGGCUGCCGCCGGGUCCGGCGCGGGUGCCGGUGCUCGGCAACCUGCACCAGCUAGGCCCGCUGCCUCACCGCAGCUUGCGCGACCUGGCAGGGCGGCACGGGUCCGUCAUGCUCCUCCGCCUCGGCGCGGCGCGAGCGGUGGUGGUUUCGUCCGCCGCGGCGGCGCGCGACGUCAUGAGGGCCCACGACGCCGACUGCUGCAGCCGACCUGCGUCGCCGGGCCCCGCGCGCCUCUCCUACGGCCGCAAGAGCGUCGCCUUCUCGCCCUACGGCGCCUUCUGGCGCGACAUGCGCAGGCUCUUCGCCUCCGAGCUCGUCGGGGCUCGUGGCGUCGCCGCCGCCUGGGCCGCGCGGCGGCAGCAGGUGGACAGGCUCAUGUCCGCCCUGGGCAACGCGACGGGACCGGUGGCGUUGGACGAGCACGUGUUCCGCGUUGCCGACGGCAUCAUCGGCACGGUGGCGUACGGGAGCGUGUACGGUGCGGAGGCCUUCGCGCGCAAGUACGAGCGGUUCCAGCACGUGCUGUUCGAGGGCAUGGACAUGUCUGCCAGCUUCUCGGCCGAAGAUUUCUUCCCCAACGCCGCCGGCCGCCUCGUCGACCGGCUCGUCGGCGUCGUCGCGCGGCGGGAGAGGAUCUUCAGAGACCUCGACGGCUUCUUCGAGGAGGUGCUGGAGCAUCACCAGGACCCCGCGCGGCCCAAGCCGGAGAGCGGCGGCGGGGACCUCGUGGACGCCCUCGUCGGCCUCUGCGAGGAGCAUGGCUUCACGACGGACCAUGUGAAGGCCGUCCUCGUGGACGCGUUCCUCGGCGGCAUCGACACGAGCUCCGUGACGAUCCUGUGGGCGAUGUCGGAGCUCAUGAGGAAGCCUCGCGCGCUGAAGACGGCGCAGGAGGAGAUCAGGGCCACGGUCGGCGGCAACGGCGACAGGGUGCAGCCGGACGACCUGCCGAAGCUGACGUACCUGAAGAUGGUGGUGAAGGAGACGCUGCGGCUGCACCCGCCGGCGACGCUGCUGCUGCCGCGGGAGACGCUGCGGAGGGUGGAGAUCGGCGGCUACGAGGUGCCGGCGGGGACGCGGGUGCUGGUGAACGCGUGGGCGAUCGGGAGGGAGGAGGCGAGCUGGGGGCCGGACGCGGAGGAGUUCGAGCCGGAGAGGUUCGAGGCGGGCGGGAGGCACGGCAAGGUGGACUUCCACGGCGCGCACAUGGAGCUGGUGCCGUUCGGCGCCGGGCGGCGGAUCUGCCCCGGGCUGGCCAUGGGCGUGGCGAACGUGGAGUACACUCUGGCCAACAUGCUGUGCGGCUUCGAGUGGGCGGUGCCGGAGGGGAUGAAGGCGGAAGAGGUGAGCAUGGAGGAGGCCGGCGCGCUGACCUUCCACCGCAAGACGCCACUGGUGCUCGUGCCCACCCCAUACGUGCCUUCAGCUUGA
rnacentral:rRNA from 1 species